UAUAUGUAGUGAAGCGUCGGACGAAAAAUCCUGUUGCGAGUGUGCGCUGGUUCAUGUCUAUUCUUUGUCCGUGUUUUCUUUUGUGCCUCAGGCCUCUUUUAGUCAUGUACUACCAGCCAGCCCAACAGAGGCGUCGCUAAGAAACUGGACAUCCGGACAACCGCUGCUGUAGCUUAUUGCAAGGCAGUGGGUUCAGCUCCUAUCGGCAGCAGGUUGUCGUUUAAUGUGAAUGGGAUACAUUUCCAGGUGGCUUCAUACAUCGGGCCAGGUAUUCUCUGUAAUAAUUCGAAAAUCAUGUGUAUGAUGGUGGGCCCUCAAACCGGCUCCCUUAGUGCAGCAGUCCAAUUCUUUACCCAGCAGUGGAACUCCUGCUACAUUGCGCCAAAAUUCCUACAAAGUGCAAAAUCUGCUACACACUGCUACAAAAGCAAGAUUUUGACGAAAAUUGCGCCUUCUCUAUGUCAGAAAGGGUCCAGGAGGGCUCUGUAUUGUCACAUAAUAGGGACGGCAAAGAACACAGUAGCAAAACUGUGAAUAAUGAAAGUAACUUGUUUUGGGCAAACCUGUACCCAUAAAAACAAGCUACACUUAAGCUCAACAAUAGCAGCAAACACGGUCAGCGAUCGUCAAAAUCUAAUCUGGUGGUUAAGCGCGCCAGCUUUUAUACAUGAGUCAUCCAAGGUUCCAGAGCAAUCGGUAGAGCCCGCGUGUUUUCUGGAAAGUUCUGCACAAUUCGCAUCACACAUGCAAUCAGAUUACACAAGUUUCGGUGACAACAGAGCAGAUAGAACCAUUGGUAACAUUUGAGAAACUUCCGAUACAUACGGGCGCAUCCUGCACUGAGCGAUAACAAUUGUUAGACGGUGAAAAGUGGUCACACAAUAAAGAUAAACAAGUAUGUGUCAAUGCCGCCCUCUCGAAAAGCAUCGUCCUGAUGCUACAAACAAAACAGGAGAGCAAAAACCAAAAGGACUCUUAUUAAACAAAAGUAACAAAACAACAAAAGAAACAGUUGAAAGUAACACAGUCCAAGGAAAAGAAAGUUCGAGGUUCAACUAAGCAAAGUCUCAAAGUUCGUUAGCGUUGGUAGAACGACUUAAGUCGCACAACAUGGACUAUUUCAGGUUAAAAGUUGCAUCAUGGUGAUAUCGAAAUGCCGUCUGCCACGACCUCAUAGUUGAGUGCGCCAAUGGUUAAGAUGAUCUUGUAGGGUCCGAAAUAGCGUCGCAAUAGUUUCUCUCCGAGUCCUCGUCGGUGUAUCAGGUUCCAUUCCACGUAGCGCCAUCGAAGAUUGUAGUGCCGGCUGUGAGUCCUUUGCUGGUUCUUGAUGAGCAGGCGGGCAAGCUUUCGGGCUCCUUCAGUUCAGUGGAGAUAGGCGGCGACAUCAACAUUUUCUUGGUCGGUGACGUGCAGCAGCAUGGCGUUGAGAGUGAUCGUCGGGGUCUUUCCAUAAACCAGCUUGAACGGCGUGAUCUGUGUUGCUUCUUGCACUGCCAUGUUGUAAGCAAAGGUGACAUACGGAAGCACGGCAUCCCACAUCUUGUGUUCACUGUCGAUGCACAUCGCUAACAUGCCAGCGAACGUCUUGUUCAGUUGUUCCGUUAGGUUUUUUGUCCGCAGGUGGUAUGCAGUGGUCCUCCAGUGACUUGUCUGGCUAUACUGCAGGAUGGCUUGAGUAAGCUCAGCAGUACAAACCAUUCCUCUGUCAGUAAUGAGGACUUCUGGCUCACCCUGUCACAGCAGGAUGCUGCAGCAGCAAAGCAGUACUUUCCCAGCUUGAGAGUGAGCCCUGACGUCAUGAUGGCCUCUAGUAUGGUCGCAAGCCACCUAAGAUGAUCGUCGAAAUUUCCUGCGAAGGCCUCACAAAAGCAACGAGUCUAGGCAUCGCUGUUGUCAAAGCAGCAUGCCACGGUCCUCUUGAGGUCGGUCAGGUCAGUGUUGCAGUGCAGUGCAGCUUGACUGUGGCUGACAAGUCUGUCGGGUGCUCCUUCAAAGCAGGCAGCGAGUCGAGGAGUGUGCAGACUACAGAGACUGUGCAUCAGUCGAGCUCCACGUCAGGUGACCCAGGAAGUUUACAGCAUACUGGAACCCCUGGGCUACCCACUGGAAUGCCGGGGUUACAUCACUGUGAAGGGCAAAGGGGACAUGCUCACUUAUUUCCUGACGGGCAGACGGAAGCCAGUGGCCGACUCCGGCAAUAACCAGCUGUAACACACCAUUUUCACUCCAAAGACCUUGCUUCAUGCGGGGCCAGCUGCCCCGCGUACAUACGUACGUGCAUAAAUAUGAGUUGUUUUUAAUUACCAUUGUUGCAAACGCCACACACAAAAUCUCCAGACAAGCCCAGGUGCCUGAGCUUUCACCCUGUUGCAACGAUAGACAUUACUAGAGAAACCCCAGAGUUGCUAUGUGUUCUUGUUUUAGGGUGUCGCGACAUUCUGCUAUUGUUUACAUUCCACUAUGUGUAAUAUAUGCCUUUUCUCUUUAGGUGUCAGCCCACACCCGUUUGUUCCGAUGUCACGGGCUUAGUCCCCUGUGCAUAAGACAUUCUUCAUGAGUAGUCUUGUGUUGGUAAAUUGCACCAUUUCUUCAAGAAUGUGUUAGUGCUUGGGUUUUAUUUCAGUUCUGUGGUGCUUUACUUGUUUUUGAGAGGACCAAUGUACAGCGAUCUGUGUGUGCCAACUGUGUAAGAGAAUUUGAGGGCAGUGAAGUGUGCAUGCAAGAAGAGGAGGCUUAAGAGAGUGUUAUUUGUAAACUGUCUGUAAUUCUUCUGAAGUCACUUUAGAAGUUGCAUUGGGACUUACAGCUGUUUGAAUUGCAUAUAUUACUUUUGAGGUCUCCAGCAGGAUUGAAGAAUGUUUUUGUUUCUGCUUCUUGGCAACCUGGGUAUGUCAAUGGGGGAAUAUUAUUUCUGCGCUGUUGAACCUUGCAUUAAAGUGGCAGAGGCACAGAGUUUUAUGAACAUUGCAAAGCUUUAACACACGAAGCUCUAAGUCUAUUAAUCUCAGUAAGGAAAAACUAGGUUGCGAAAAAGCAAGCUAGUAGCUUUGCUGUAUGACUACAGUCGCCGAACGUUUAUUCAGACCUCACGGGGACUGCGGAAAUGUCCAAAUAAACAGGUGUGUGAAAAAGCAGAUUAAGCAAAAAAAGAAGAAAUCCUUAGGAGAAUGUACCACCCACUUGGUCGCCAUAAAAUUGACCCAAUCGUAGUCCAUGUACCUGCUGCAACUGUGUGCCUGUUCGAAUGCAACUGAGUGUCUAUACCUGCACCUCUACUACACCAUAUUUAUGUUUUGGGGCAUAAUGUAUACUUGUCAUAAUAUAAACGAACAUCGAUAAUUUCUUAUAUCUAUAUUUAACCUGUCGGUCCUAACGUCGGUGUUUUGUUAAGUCAUGCAAACGAUGUCAAAGGUCAAAUGAUGUCUGUAAGGUCUCUUGUUUUUGUACAACCAUAUAUUUUCACUGUGUCCCUUUUUUCUAGUCAACAUCCAUCACCUGCUUUGUCUGAACUUGAAAUUACGCUAUAGAUCUGCCCUGUCAUUCUAGUCCUAGUAAGAAUGUCACUGGUGGGCAGGUUUUACGGGCCUGACACUGUCUGCUUUGUUUGAGUGAUUGGGUCAUUGUUUGCAGAGUACAAUUACUGAUUUGGUAUCUUCGUUUUCUUGGCUGUGAUUUGGCUUCAACUCCUUCAAAUGGAGUGUGUGCUGCUCUAUUUCAUCUAUAUGCUCUGGAUCUUAUUGAUUUACAGCAUUAAGUACAAAUCCUUUGCUGCCUGCACAAAUUCUUUACAUUUAUUUUACUACAUCCUUUGUAUUGCAUGUAAGAAGGACCAAGCUUUGAAUGUUGAAUGAUUCAUUUCAUGUUUAUAAAAGGAUAAGGCACUCUGUAGUGUUGCUGUAAUGCAACUACAAGUGUGCUGAAGAAGUUGAAGUAUGAACUAAACUUCUGAGGAUAGUUGAGGGCAUUCGCAGCGAUAAAGGUGUACUGUGUGACAAGAUGAAUCUCGAUGCUGGUGAUUCCAAAUGUGCCUAGUGGCUUUUCAUGUAGAUAAAAAAAAUAUGCUUAGUUUGUUGUGUGAUA